AGCUCUUAAUGUUUGUGAGGAUUUCGGCAGUCACCAGAUCAUCAGGACUGAUGAGACUCCCAAGAUAAGUGGAGCG
rnacentral:pre_miRNA from 1 species